GGAGGGGUGCGAGCGUUGUCCGGAAUCACUGGGCGUAAAGGGCGCGUAGGGCGGCGCAGUAAGUAGGGGGGGGGUGAAAUCUCACGGCUCAACCGUGAAACGGCCUCCUAAACUGCUGUGCUUGAGCACGGUAGAGGCAGAUGGAAUUCCCGGUGUAGCGGUGGAAUGCGUAGAUAUCGGGAAGAACACCAGUGGCGAAGGCGGUCUGCUGGGCCGUUGCUGACGCUGAGGCGCGACAGCGUGGGGAGCAAACAGGAUUAGAUACCCUGGUAGUCCACGCCGUAAACGAUGGGUACUAGGCGUCGGGGGGAGCGACCCCUUCGGUGCCGUCGCUAACGCAGUAAGUACCCCGCCUGGGGAGUACGGCCGCAAGGCUG
rnacentral:rRNA from 1 species